rnacentral:pre_miRNA from 1 species
AGUGGAAUAGCUGGCUCAAGUGGUGGUUCCAUUCGAAGUUUAAGGAAUGUCCAUACUACUUUCCAAAUUGGCUGCACCAAUUUUCAUUCCCACCAGCAGU